GGUCGGGAAGAAAUAGUUGUGGCUAAUAUCCACAACGAAUGACGGUACCGACAUAAGAAGCACCGGCUAACUACGUGCCAGCAGCCGCGGUAAUACGUAGGGUGCAAGCGUUAAUCGGAAUUAUUGGGCGUAAAGGGUGCGCAGGCGGAUGUAUAAGUCAGAAGGAAAGCCCCGGGCUUAACCUGGGAAUUGCGUUGAAAAAGGAAGCUGAAGGGCGAAUCCAGCACACGGCGGC
rnacentral:rRNA from 1 species